CUUCACCGAGCCCAGCAGCAACGGCCGUUCCUCCGGCCGGUCUUGGCCGUAGGUCGCGAGCAGCGCCUGGGCCUC
rnacentral:antisense_RNA from 1 species